CUAGAUGGUGCGUGGCGGUGGCCGGUUUGGUGCGGUGGGUGGGCGAGAGAGCAAGUGCCGAGCGGCAUCAAUUGCGGCAUGCCCGAGAUCGGAGGCAGGCGACCGUGCACAUAUGGCACCAUCCUUCUGAGUUCUGAAUUCUGAUGCGACAUGUGCAGGCCUGUUUGGUUGAGACGCGUCAAGAUCAUAAACGCUGCAGGAUCUAGCGGUAGAGACCUUAGGGUGGUGGCCGUGAGCAUUGCUGGAGCUGGGCCACGCGCCAGUUGGGAAGAUGCAGAUCAUUUUGGGCCUGCCCAUAGUUCUGCGUAGGGAAUCCGUGAUAAGGUAUGUUCGGUAAAGCUCCUGUUGCUCUGAUCCUUUAUACGAAGUGAUUCUCUGAUUAUGUAGUUGAAAACGAUUAUUUUGGAUAAACUCUACAUAUGAACCUAUUCAGUUCACAACAUCUUAGUUCAUUCGUGAGAAUCAUUUAACAGAAUUAAUCUAAAUAAAGCUUUGAAGUUCUGCCAAUAUGCCCUUAAUUUAUACCAAAAUCACUUAAAAUUUCAUCGUGGCCAAACAUACCCUCCGUCUAAAAAUAAUGCAACUAUAAUUUUAUCUUAAAUUAAACCAUUUUAAACUUGUCUAAAUUUAUAAAGAAUAGUAUCAAUAUUUAUAUAAUAUCAAAUAAACAUUCUAAGAAAAUAUAUUUCAUAAUAAAUUUAAUGAUACUUUUUGAUGUUAUAAAUGUUGACACCCUUCUCAAGUUAUUCAUAAACUUGAUCAAACUUUGAAAAAUGACUAAUAUUAAAUAAGAAUUGCAUUAUUUUUAAGAACGACUGAAAAUGUCUAUCCAGUCCCUCCCAGACCGACUUGAAAUAGGCUAUAGGACAAUGUCUGCUCAAACUUUUUGAUGGGCUAAAUUUGCUCAAGACUUCUAGGCAGUAGUCACAACGUUCCAGUUGAGGACAAUGUCUGCUUCCAGUUCUCAAUGGAAUGGUAUACACAGGUUUGCUAAAAGUGGAGCGCUAUGACUUUUUGAAUGUCAAAUGUUACUACACAGUAUAUAAUUCUUCUUAUGCCACUGCAAUGCUAGUCCAAAAACAGAACUCAAGGGUACGCAAUUAUAGUUUAAAUAAACUGACGCCAUGCGCCACACCUACGGAAUAUACAGCAGGAGCCCGCACUCCGAUAGAUGCUACAAAACUGAAGGUUACAGAACUACACAUGACCAUAUCAUCUAGAUGGAGACCUUGCGAACCCAUCUAUGCGAGGAACACAGGUUCUAUAAUAUGGUGAUGGUCUUAUGCUAAUUCAGUUGCAUAGUCCACCCCAUCCAGUCCUCUGUUUGACCCAUCUGGAGACUCGUCAGCGAAGUAUACAGCUGCUGAGACACUACGCCAACACCUUGGUGCCCAUAUUCCACCCUGCAAGAUGAAAUCCAUUGGAUGUAGCGACAAAAAAGGGGCAAAGAAUGCAAGGAAAAAACUAGGUCAGAAAGGCCAGUAUUCCUAGCACUAAAACUCCUUGUAUAUGAUAUAAAGAACUAAUCAUAAAAGGAAUACUUGGGAGUAGAACAUAAAGCAACUAUUACCGAGGUGUUUGCCCACCAUAAGGUUCAUACGGGGCAUAUUUAAUAGUAUGUCUCAUGUAUUUAAGCAGAUAUACAUGAUAUAGGUGUCAGCUAAUUUUUUGUUAGGAACAAUUUAAAUUUGAUGCAACUACACAUACAUUUCAAUUAACAAGUGAGCUCUCAAGUCUCAAGCAAAGAUAUAUAUGUUUCACCUUUUCCCUUGAUAAGUUAUACUCCCAACAGGAGACACUACAACAGCAGUUCCCGUGCAGAAGAUUUCAUCAGCAUCAAGCAAUUCAUCCACUGACACCAGCCGCUCCUCAACCUUCCAAGAAGUGAGAAUAUAUUAAAUUAAGAUUGCACCAAACAUUUGUGAACAUACGCAAUGCUUCUCAGUGACAAUUCAUAUGACAUAGGCACCUAGUUAGCACCUAUAGGCUCACUGCAUAUGAUCCAUUACUGUGCUCACUGCUUAAGAUCCAAAACUAGUGCUAAGUUAUCAAGCAAAGGAACUGAAGUUUAAAAUAACAGGCAAAUGGUAUCCUCAUGUAUACUGAUAGUUAACCAGCUCAUUUUUGGAACCAGGCUCACAGCUUAUGAUCCAAAAACUAUGCUCACUGCUUAGGAUCCAAAACUAGCGCUAAGUUAUCAAGCAAAGUUACUUAAGUUUAUAAUAACAGGCAAGUGAUAUCCUCAUGUACACUGAUAGUUAACCUGCUCAUUUUUUUAACCAUUGGAUUAAAAAAAAGGCAUACCCAGUGAUGAAAGCUCCCACACAAGGUGGUGUCUGGGGAAGGGAAUUCCUAGGAGAUCUCAAUUCCUAGACAGCCUAACCCUUGCAAAAUUCUUUUAAAUUCUGCAAAGAGGCUUUUGGAACCAUAGGAUUGACAAGUAAUUUACCUGGAAGCCCUUGCUCACAGCAACAUCUAUUAUACUUUUCCUUGUGAUGCCAGGUAAUAUUGUUCCUUUUAUUGCCGGAGUAGAAAUAACAUUGCCCUGGUGCAAACAUGACAAGAAAUAAGGUAGGCCAUUAAUUUGUUGAGCUGAAUAUCCUUGAUCAAGUCAGCAGAAAAUUUAAAAGCAUGCAGCAAUAGCUUACCAGUCACUAGUAAGGCGACGAUAUAGUACUGCUAUGUGCUAAGCAGCCAAGUAGGGCUAAAUCUAUUAGGUAGCAGAUAGAGCUCAACCAGGUAUCACUACGUACUAUUUAACAGCCAUACCAUUCUUGCAAGAGAAACCUUAUCUUUUUGUUGUUUAAAAUAGACCUUAGCCGUAGACCAAUCUACAACCAAUGUGUUACAGACAUUCUUCUAGUUUUCAAUAAGGUGAUUAGCCACAAAAGGCUUAUGCAUGGUAGAAGGUCAAAAUGUUCAGUCGACUGAGCUCUAGAUGAAAAAAGUAUGUGGCACAAAAAUCUCUUAUCCUACAUUACUACAAGAUCAUGCUUGAGAUACCAACAGAUGCAGCUACCAAUAACCUACUCCUAAAGACAUGUUUCAUGACAAGGUUAUGACUUUCAAGCCAUCUAAUGUUGCAGACAUAUAUUAGGGUGAGAUUAGCCAUCUUUGAAUUAAUAGGUUGAUAACCAAGCUUGAUUUAUUAGUAGCUUGCAGAACUCGAAAGCCCUUAGUGCACCUACUAAAUUAAGCUUCAAGCCAAAAUAAAAGGUGUGGAAGAUAUUACGGUCCUACCUUGACAACAAAAAUAUUACAUGAGGAAACUUCUUCAAGAUAUUUUUUGUGAACAGCAUCCAAGUAGAGAACAUCAGAAUAACCUUUCUCCUUUGCAAUUUUCUGUGCCAUCAACACCUAUGCAAUGACAAGAAAACAUGAUUUAAAGCCACUGUGAAUAAUACAAGAAUAUUUAAUGUGGCAUAGAAAAAUAGCAAUAUUUAAUGUAGAUAGCAAUUAUCCAUGAGGCUGGCUACAGUUUUACCAAAAAGAAAGGGAUACAAUGGGUUUCAAUAGUCAAGAUGCAUGGAAUGCAUAUUAUGGGUUGCAACAUGUCACAUUUUGGAAUUCUCCAUUAGUCCAUGAUAGUAUUCCAUCUGAGCUUUGGCUUUUAUCAUUUCACAACAUGGUAGAGAUCAUUUAUAUUCUUAAGAAUUCUUCUUAUUACAUAUUCUAUUGAAUCACCUCAAGAACAUCUUCUUUUGUGUUUGAAUAUUUGAAGCACAAAAUAAUCACAGUAGUAGGUAAGCAAGAGAAAUAUCAGACAGCAAAGCUCAAAAUUAGUAGUCCUGCAGCUUCAAUUACUUGUGCAACAAAGUACUAAAGCAGAAUUACCGAAGCAUAAUUUCCAAUAGUCUUCACACCACCAGUUCCACCAGGAGUGGCACGAUGGAACUUGUCUUCAACUAUCAAAUUUAUCGGUGCUAAACCUUCCUGCAGAAAACCAG
rnacentral:lncRNA from 1 species